rnacentral:ncRNA from 2 species
GGGUGCCUGCGCAAAUGUCGUGACCAUGCAGGCAGGUUUCGUGCUGGUCGGGCCGCCGCA